CUGCUGUGCUUAGCUGCAGACAUUUUCCCUCUCUCCCUGGCUUUCACUACCUGCCAGGGCUGAGAGGUGUCUGACAGGCUGUGAGACCGCACCGCCCGCACGGCUACGGUCUCACUAGUGCCCUCCCUCCGUUCUGUGUAAUUGCCGGCACCCGCUUAGAAAUCCCAGCGGGUGCCGAGCAGCUCUGUCUCCCUCUUUCCCCG